GUACAAUUAAUUUUACCUUAGCAUUACAUCUUUCUGUGGAUGGUUGUAGAUAUAUAGGAAAUAAAAAGUAUUCCUAGGGAUAUUAAUAAUACUCUCCACUAUUACUCCAAAUUGCAAUUUAUAGUGUACAAAUAUCAGUGAAAACCGGUUUUUAAUUGAGAGGUAGCAUUGUGCUUUAUUCUUAGACAUGAUGCAAGUUCUUAAAAUAUUUACAGACUAAAGGCUCUUCAAGCCCCAGAAUCAGCAAGCGAUAUGAGACUUGUCAGAAUUUGUACACUUUUGUAAAGAUAGCAAACUAACAACUUUCUCAUUUAUGUUACCAGUAAUUACAAAUGUCAUGUGUCAUUUAUAGUAAAUAAGAAAUUUAUAAAUGUGUUGAAAUCCUGACCCAAGUCUAUGCUCUUGAUUCUGGGACUCGUUAUGUUGUGAUAGUAGAGAGUCACAUUCCCGUCACAGAUUGGCGUCACACAGGGAUGGGUUUUUUCACCCUACAAUUUUUAUUCUAACUCACUUUUUGAUUGUUUAUGUCACAAUUGAUUCCUGUAUACUUGUGUUUGAGCUUUCAAAUGUAUUUAUUAUUGUAUUAACCCAAGAUUAUACUUGUUCUGUACAUGAAAUUUUUGCUUGCUCAAUUUUUCUUGUAGCCUUUUUUUCUCUUGGUGCAUAUUGUCUACAUACUGUACAUGUCUAAAUGCUGGUGCAUAUCUCUACUCUCUCAAUAGAUAGAUAUGGGACAUAUUCAUUUAUAUCACUGUCUUCAUAAAAACUUUGGUACAAACCCCAAAAAUAGUACUAGAUUUGUUUUGGUAUAUUUUAAAGAAUCAAUGUGCCUUUCUGUAUCAGAAGUGUUGCUCUUGGUUGUCAGUGAAAUAUUUCCCCUAAAAAAUUGUGUCAUACAAUUGUGUCAUGUGACAAUGCUUACAAAAAGUGAUAUACUGUAGAGUGUUGCUGAUAUCAGAGCAUUCUCUAUUUCUCAUUUUGAACUCUGAAAUCAAUGUCUUGUGCAUUUUAUGUUCAUUAAACAACAUGAUAUU
rnacentral:misc_RNA from 1 species